rnacentral:rRNA from 1 species
AUUGAACGCUGGCGGAAUGCUUUACACAUGCAAGUCGAACGGUAGAGGGGGCAACCCCUUGAGAGUGGGCGAACGGGUGAGUAAUAUAUCGGAACGUGCCCAGUCGUGGGGAUAACGUAGCGAAAGUUACGCUAAUACCGCAUACGAUCUAAGGAUGAAAGCGGGGGAUCGCAAGACCUCGCGCGAUUGGAGCGGCCGAUAUCAGAUUAGGUAGUUGGUGAGGUAAAGGCUCACCAAGCCGACGAUCUGUAGCUGGUCUGAGAGGACGACCAGCCACACUGGGACUGAGACACGGCCCAGACUCCUACGGGAGGCAGCAGUGGGGAAUUUUGGACAAUGGGCGCAAGCCUGAUCCAGCAAUGCCGCGUGCAGGAUGAAGGCCUUCGGUUGUAAACUGCUUUGUACGGAACGAAACGGUGAGCUCUAAUACAGUUUG